UACGGGGGGAGCAAGCGUUGUUCGGAUUUACUGGGCGUAAAGGGCGCGUAGGCGGUCAGCACAAGUCAGUUGUGAAAUCUCCGGGCUUAACUCGGAAAGGUCAACUGAUACUGUGCGACUAGAGUGCGGAAGGGGCAACUGGAAUUCUCGGUGUAGCGGUGAAAUGCGCAGAUAUCGGGAAGAACACCCGUGGCGAAGGCGGUUCUCUGGGACGGUACUGACGCUGAGACGCGAAAGCGUGGGGAGCGAACAGG
rnacentral:rRNA from 1 species